rfam:Loxodonta africana unplaced genomic scaffold scaffold_5, whole genome shotgun sequence.
GAUUUACCUAUACUUGAGUACCUGCCGUGUGAUAGGCAAGUAACUGAGGGCCUUUUUCAGUUUGGGAUAUUUGUGGGUAAAGCACAUUUUGUCCUCCAAAAAACUAUUCUUGCAGUUCACAUCAG